rnacentral:rRNA from 1 species
AAUCAACGCUGGCGGCGUGCCUAACACAUGCAAGUCGAACGCGAAAGCCCCUUCGGGGGCAAGUAGAGUGGCGUCCGGGUGAGUAACACGUGGGUAAUCUACCUCCGGGUGGGGAAUAACUCGCCGAAAGGCGGGCUAAUACCGCAUAAUGCAGCGGCACCGAAUGGUGAUUAGUUGUUAAAGCGGGGGACCUUAGGGCCUCGCGUCUGGAGAGGAGCCUGCGGCAGAUUAGCUUGUUGGUAGGGAAUGGCCUACCAAGGCUGCGAUCUGUAGCUGGUCUGAGAGGACGGCCAGCCACACUGGCACUGACACACGGGCCAGACUCCUACGGGAGGCAGCAGUGGGGAAUUUUGGGCAAUGGGCGAAAGCCUGACCCAGCAACGCCGCGUGAAGGAGGAAAUCCUUCGGGAUGUAAAACUUCACAAGCAAGGGAAGAGCGCGCAGGGUCGAAUAAACUCUGCGUCGACGGUACCUUGCGUAAGCCACGGCUAACUACGUGCCAGCAGCCGC